GUUUUCGCGCAUGCUUCCCAAAAUAACAUGUCUGAGAAGAUGGGAAAAUACGUCUUUGCACCACGACAGUGCACGUCAAUGGUUUUUGAUUCGCUACAAUACCAUGUUUUCUUGUAUGUAUUCACUAGAUAGACACAUUUAGUAGGAACCUUGCAAUUGUUCUUGUAACUCGUAAAAGGGUCAAGAUGGCGCCAUAUGGGGGGAAAGGUGAUUUUAAGGUGGCUACCAAUAUUGCACUUGUCAUAUCUUCGAGACGAGUUCGGUGACCCCAAAUUUUUUUUCUGUUUUUACUAUGAG